rnacentral:misc_RNA from 1 species
UCCUGAAGCUCCUCAGGAAUUUUUUCAACAUCACCAUCCUUAUUAGUAACAGAGUCAGGCCUUAUAACCCACAAGAAUCGUUUCUUGCUAUUAACAAUACCAUGCCAAAAUUCCAUGAGUUGCUCUCUUGUCAUCACCGUAAUGCUUCCAAAGCUUAUGUAAAGUACAGAUUGCGAAGGUUGAGUAUCCAGCCAUGUGAUGCAGCUUCUGUCCACUUCCCAGAGACUAUUCGAGGAUUGAUACGAUGAUUCUUGUGUCUUUAUGCUUCUAAGUUUAGUUUUCAAGAGCUCGUGGAGGGGUCCGAUGGUGUAGGUUUUGGGCAUUGACUGCGGAUUUGAGAUAGUAUUGGUGCUUCCAGGUCUUCGAACGUGUUGAGGAUGAGGGCUUGUGCUCGAGGGGAUUGCCUUGUCUCGUUCACGACCAUAACGAGAUGGGGAUCCGUCAAGUCGCUAACUCUGCAGAAACUUGGAAGAUCUCGGCA